CAUGAUAUUAGGCGUCGUUGCUUCCAUCAUUGCUAUGCUGUGGUCAGUGGAAUGGGACCACAUCAUUCACUGCAACUUCAUCUUUGUCCCAAAAGCUCUGAUGACUUCUAUCUUCAGUUUUCUUUCAGGGAGCUUCGUGCUACUCGCUGUGGUGAUAUUUGCACUAAAACUUGAUCACAAGGAUGUGCAACCAUCUAAGAAAUGGGGUUUUUACUUAAGCCUCCCUGUCGUUGUCCUGUGCAUCAUGUCAGGGAUUUACAAUCUAGUGACCUACAAGUUGGCACUCUGGGGGACAGGAACAUCAACCACUCGUGUGGGCCCAGAAAUCCUCAGCCACGAAGACCUUCCACAUAUCUUAAAACAUUCCCGACCUUCCCUUCUCUGAG